rnacentral:tRNA from 1 species
ACCCCCGUGACGCAAUGGAUUAGCGCGUUGGACAUCUAAUUCAAAGGUUGUGCGUUCGAGUCCCAUCGGGGGUG